UACGGGGGGAGCAAGCGUUGUUCGGAUUUACUGGGCGUAAAGGGCGCGUAGGCGGUCAGCACAAGUCAGUUGUGAAAUCUCCGAGCUUAACUCGGAAAGGUCAACUGAAACUGUGCGACUAGAGUGCAGAAGGGGCAACUGGAAUUCUUGGUGUAGCGGUGAAAUGCGUAGAUAUCGGGAGGAACACCAGUGGCGAAGGCGACUUCCUGGCCUGUUCUUGACGCUGAGGCGCGAAAGCUAGGGUAGCAAACGGG
rnacentral:rRNA from 1 species